rnacentral:rRNA from 1 species
UACGUAGGGUGCGAGCGUUAAUCGGAAUUACUGGGCGUAAAGCGUGCGCAGGCGGUUUUUUAAGCCAGAUGUGAAAUCCCCGGGCUUAACCUGGGAACUGCAUUUGGAACUGGAAGACUAGAGUAUAGCAGAGGGAGGUAGAAUUCCACGUGUAGCAGUGAAAUGCGUAGAUAUGUGGAGGAAUACCGAUGGCGAAGGCAGCCUCCUGGGUUAAUACUGACGCUCAUGCACGAAAGCGUGGGGAGCAAACAGG